rnacentral:rRNA from 1 species
GCCACACCGGGACUGAGACACGGCCCGGACUCCUACGGGAGGCAGCAGUGGGGAAUAUUGGACAAUGGGGGCAACCCUGAUCCAGCCAUGCCGCGUGUGUGAAGAAGGCCUUUUGGUUGUAAAGCACUUUAAGCAGUGAAGAAGACCUAACGGUUAAUACCCGUUAGCGAUGACAUUAGCUGCAGAAUAAGCACCGGCUAACUCUGCGCCAGCAGCCGCGGUAAUACAGAGGGUGCAAGCGUUAAUCGGAAUUACUGGGCGUAAAGCGAGCGUAGGUGGCUUGAUAAGUCAGAUGUGAAAUCCCCGGGCUUAACCUGGGAACUGCAUCUGAUACUGUUGGGCUAGAGUAGGUGAGAGGGAGGUAGAAUUUCAGGUGUAGCGGUGAAAUGCGUAGAGAUCUGAAGGAAUACCGAUGGCGAAGGCAGCCUCCUGGCAUCAUACUGACACUGAGGUUCGAAAGCGUGGGUAGCAAACAGGAUUAGAUACCCUGGUAGUCCACGCCGUAAACGAUGUCUACUAGUCGUUGGGGAACUUGAUUCCUUAGUGACGCAGCUAACGCAAUAAGUAGACCGCCUGGGGAGUACGGCCGCAAGGUUAAAACUCAAAUGAAUUGACGGGGGCCCGCACAAGCGGUGGAGCAUGUGGUUUAAUUCGAUGCAACGCGAAGAACCUUACCUGGUCUUGACAUAUCUAGAAUCCUGCAGAGAUGCGGGAGUGCCUUCGGGAAUUAGAAUACAGGUGCUGCAUGGCUGUCGUCAGCUCGUGUCGUGAGAUGUUGGGUUAAGUCCCGCAACGAGCGCAACCCUUUUCCUUAGUUACCAGCGGUUUGGCCGGGGACUCUAAGGAUACUGCCAGUGACAAACUGGAGGAAGGCGGGGACGACGUCAAGUCAUCAUGGCCCUUACGACCAGGGCUACACACGUGCUACAAUGGUAGGUACAGAGGGCAGCUACACAGCGAUGUGAUGCGAAUCUCAAAAAGCCUAUCGUAGUCCAGAUUGGAGUCUGCAACUCGACUCCAUGAAGUAGGAAUCGCUAGUAAUCGCGGAUCAGAAUGCCGCGGUGAAUACGUUCCCGGGCCUUGUACACACCGCCCGUCACACCAUGGGAGUUGAUUGCACCAGAAGUGGGUAGCCUAACUUUUAGAGGGCGCUCACCACGGUGUGGUUGAUGACUGG